rnacentral:rRNA from 1 species
CGUAGGGUGCGAGCGUUGUCCGGAAUUAUUGGGCGUAAAGAGCUCGUAGGCGGUCUGUCGCGUCGGCUGUGAAGACUCGGGGCUCAACCCCGAGCCUGCAGUCGAUACGGGCAGACUAGAGUGCUGUAGGGGAGACUGGAAUUCCUGGUGUAGCGGUGAAAUGCGCAGAUAUCAGGAGGAACACCGGUGGCGAAGGCGGGUCUCUGGGCAGUAACUGACGCUGAGGAGCGAAAGCGUGGGGAGCAAACAGGAUUAGAUACCCUGGUAGUCCACGCCGUAAACGGUGGGUGCUAGGUGUGAGCGGUAUUCCACGCCGUUCGUGCCGCAGCUAACGCAUUAAGCACCCCGCCUGGGGAGUACGGCCGCAAGGCUA